rnacentral:tRNA from 2 species
CGGGGCGUAGCGCAGACUGGUAGCGCGCUUGCUUGGGGUGCAAGAGGUCGUGAGUUCAAAUCUCAUCGCCCCGACCA